rnacentral:rRNA from 1 species
UACGAGGGGUGCAAGCGUUGCUCGGAAUUAUUGGGCGUAAAGGGUUGGUAGGUGGUCUUGUUUGUCUAGGGUGAAAUCCCAUGGCUUAACUGUGGAAGUGCCCUAGAAACGGCAAGACUAGAGUCCUAGAGGGGUUUGUGGAAUUCCCGGUGUAGCGGUGAAAUGCGUAGAGAUCGGAAGGAACGUCGAUGGCGAAGGCAGCCACCUGGCAUCAUACUGACGCUGAGGCGCGAAAGCGUGGGGAGCGAACAGG